rnacentral:rRNA from 1 species
AUUGAACGCCGGCGGCAUGCUUUACACAUGCAAGUCGAACGGUAACAGGCCGCAAGGUGCUGACGAGUGGCGAACGGGUGAGUAAUGCAUCGGAACGUGCCCAGUCGUGGGGGAUAACGCAGCGAAAGCUGUGCUAAUACCGCAUACGAUCUAUGGAUGAAAGCGGGGGACCGUAAGGCCUCGCGCGAUUGGAGCGGCCGAUGUCAGAUUAGGUAGUUGGUGGGGUAAAGGCUCACCAAGCCAACGAUCUGUAGCUGGUCUGAGAGGACGACCAGCCGCACUGGGACUGAGACCCGGCCCAGGCUCUUACGGGAGGCAGCAGUGGGGAAUUUUGGACAAUGGGCGCAAGCCUGAUCCAGCAAUGCCGCGUGCAGGAAGAAGGCCUUCGGGUUGUAAACUGCUUUUGUACGGAACGAAAAGGUUUGGGUUAAUACCCUGGGCCGAUGACGGUACCGUAAGAAUAAGCACCGGCUAACUACGUGCCAGCCGCCGCGGUAA